GGCCUGGUGGCUGCGCGGCGCUGCUGGGUGCUCUGAGGCGACCCGACCGCCGGCCGCUCCUCCGCGCGCUGUCCCGCACCUGCUGCCCUUGCCCGGCCCGCGGCGCCGCUGCCAUGCGGCUGGCGCUGCUCUGGGCCCUGGGACUCCUCGGCGCGGGCAGCCCUUGGCCUUCCUGGCCUCUCCCAAAUAUAGGUGGCACCAAGGAGCAGCAGGCAAGGUCAGAGAAGGCCCCAAGUGGGCCCUUGGAGCCCCAGGUCCUUCAGGACGACCUCCCAAAUAGCCUCGAAGAGGUGCUUCAGAGCAGUCUGCCUGAGCCCCUGAGGAUCAAGCUGGAGCUGGAUGGUGACAGUCAUAUCCUGGAGCUGCUACAGAAUAGGGAGUUGGUCCCAGGCCGCCCAGCCCUGGUGUGGUACCAGCCCAAUGGCACUCGGGUGGUCAGUGAGGGACAUACUCUGGAGAACUGCUGCUACCAGGGAAGGGUGCAGGGAUACGCAGGCUCGUGGGUGUCCGUCUGUACCUGCUCUGGGCUCAGAGGCUUGGUGGUCCUGUCCCCAGAGAGAAGCUAUAUCCUGGAGCAGGGGCCUGGGGACCUUCCAGGUCCUCCCAUUAUUUCCCGAAUCCAAGAUCUCCACCUGCCAGGCCACACCUGUACCCUGAGCUGGCAGGAAUCUGUGCACACACAGACUCCACCAGAGCUCCCCCUGGGACAGCGCCACGUUCACCGGUGGAGGCGGGAUGUGGUGACAGAGACCAAGACUGUGGAGCUGGUGAUUGUGGCUGAUCACUCGGAGGUCCAGAGAUACCGGGACUUCCAGCGCCUGCUGAACCGCACACUGGAAGUGGCCCUCUUGCUAGACACAUUCUUCCGUCCCCUGAAUGUACGAGUGGUGCUAGUGGCCCUGGAGGCCUGGACCCAGCAUGACCUGGUGGAGAUCAGCUCAAACCCAGCUGUCACCCUCGAAAACUUCCUCAACUGGCGCAGAACAGAUUUGCUGCCUCGAUUGCCCCACGACAGUGCCCAGCUGGUGACUGGCACUUCAUUCUCUGGGCCUAUGGUGGGCAUGGCCAUUCAGAACUCCAUCUGCUCUCCUGACUUCUCAGGAGGCGUGAACAUGGACCACUCCACCAGCACCCUGGGAGUCGCCUCCUCCAUAGCCCAUGAGCUGGGCCACAGCCUGGGCCUGAACCAUGAUUCUCCUGGGAACAGCUGUCCCUGUCCAGGUCCAGCCCCAGCCAAGACCUGCAUCAUGGAGGCCUCCACAGACUUCCUGCCAGGCCUGAACUUCAGCAACUGCAGCCGACAGGCCCUGGAAAAAGCCCUUCUGGAUGGAAUGGGCAGCUGCCUCUUCGAACGGCUGCCCAGCCUGCCCUCUAUGGCUGCUUUCUGCGGAAAUAUGUUUGUGGAGUCGGGCGAGCAGUGUGACUGUGGCUUCCCGGAUGACUGCACUGAUCCCUGCUGUGAUUCUUCAACCUGCAAGCUGAGGCCGGGGGCACAGUGUGCAUCCGAUGGACCCUGUUGUCAAAAUUGCCAGCUGCGCCCGUCUGGCUGGCAGUGUCGUCCUACCAGAGGGGACUGUGACUUGCCUGAAUUCUGCCCAGGAAACAGCUCCCAGUGUCCCCCUGAUGUCAGCCUAGGGGAUGGCGAGCCCUGCGCUGGUGGGCAAGCUGUGUGCAUGCACGGGCGCUGUGCCUCCUAUGCCCAGCAGUGCCAGUCACUCUGGGGACCUGGGGCUCAGCCCGCUGCACCACUUUGCCUCCAGACAGCCAACACGCGGGGAAAUGCUUUUGGGAGCUGUGGGCGCAAGCCCAGUGGCAGCUACGAGUCCUGCAGCCCUAGAGAUGCCAUUUGUGGGCAGCUCCAGUGCCAGACAGAUAGCACCCAGCCUUUGCUGGGCUCCAUCCACGCUCUAAUCUGGGAGAUAAUAGAUGUGAACGGGACUGAGCUGAACUGCAGCUGGGUGCACCUGGACCUGGGCGACGAUGUGGCCCAACCUCUCCUGACUCUGCCAGGCACAGCUUGUGGCCCUGGCCUGGUAUGCAUAGACCAUCGAUGCCAGCCUGUGGAUCUCCUGGGGGCACAGGAAUGUCGAAGCAAAUGCCAUGGACAUGGGGUCUGUGACAGCAACAGGCACUGCCACUGUGAGGAGGGCUGGACGCCCCCUGACUGCACCACUCAGCUCAAAGCAACCAGCUCCCUGACCACAGGGCUACUCCUCAGCCUCUUGGUGUUACUGGUCCUGGUGAUGCUUGGUGCCAGCUACUGGUACCGUGCUCGCCUGCACCAGCGACUCUGCCAGCUCAAGGGACCCACCUGCCAAUACAGGGCAGCCCAAUCUGGCCCCCCUGAAAGGCCAGGACCUCCGCAGAGGGCCCUGCUGGCUCAAGGCACUAAGCAGGCUAACGCUCUCGGCUUCCCGGCCCCCCCUUCCAGGGCGCUGCCGCCUGACCCUGUGCCCAAGAGACUCCAGGCUGAGCUGGCUGACCGACCCAAUCCCCCUACCCGCCCUCUGCCCGCUGACCCGGUGGUGAGGAGCCCCAAGGUAACGGUGCGGGGAGAGAAGGGUACAGACUCUCCCCCCACCUAGGGCUGUGGUGCUGGUAGCCAUGACGGUGGUGGCAGUGGCGAGAUGUCCCCUCAGUGUAUGAGGGCACAUAUCCCAGUGGUGCCUUUAAUGGUGACAGUCUCAGGGGCCUUCCAAGCCCCCACCCCCGAGGAAGCCACUGCCUGCUGACCCCCAGGGCCGGUGCCCAUCGAGUGACCCGUCUGGCCCAGGAGCUGGAAUCCCGCCCCUAGUGGUACCCUCCAGACCAGCGCCGCCACCUCCAACAAUGUCCUUGCUCUACCUCUGACCUCCCUGGAGGUUCCGCUGCCUCCAAACUGGAUUUAGGAUUUCAAGAGGCGGGUGUGCCCUCUGGAGUCCCUUACCAUGACUGAAGGAGCCAGAGACUGGACGCGGUCCGCACCGUCACGCGCUGUGAAGCAGCACUCUGGCGACCUGCCCGCGUAGUUGCAGCUGGGGCUUGGGGAGGGGCUGGGGGUUGGACAGGGCUGAGGGAGGUGCGCACAGCCUGUCUCUGCUCAGCUGCAAUAAACGAGACAUCUUGGGAGAGUU